rfam:TPA: Bos taurus chromosome 17, whole genome shotgun sequence.
UCCCUGGUGGCUCAGAAGGUAAAGUAUCUGCCUACAAUGCAGGAGACCCAGGUUUGAUCCCUGGGUUGGGAA